rnacentral:misc_RNA from 1 species
GGAGAAUGGUGUCACCCCUAAUAACUUCAGCUAUCGGAUCUGCAUCAAUUGCUGUGGAGAAAGAGCUGAUUUUAAUGGUAUGGAGAAGCUUCUUGAAGAAAUGGAAAGUCAGCCUUUCAUAUCGGCGGACUGGAUCACCUAUUCCAUGAUGGCUAAUGUUUAUAUUAAAGCCAAGUUCAAGGAGAAAGCUCUUAUUUUCUUGAAAAAGUUAGAAGAUAGGCUACAUAAAGAUCCAAUAGGUUACAAUCAUUUGAUCUCCCACUACGGAAAUCUAGGCAACAAGGAAGAGAUGUUGCGAUUGUGGGGUGUACAUAAGGUUGUGUGUAAAAAGCAAAUUAACAGGGACUACAUCACCAUGUUAGGUUCCUUAGUGAAGCUUGGUGAACUAGAGACAGCUGAGACCGUGCUAAAAGAGUGGGAGUCUUCUUGCCACACCUAUGAUUUUAGAGUGCCAAAUAUCCUUCUUAUUGGAUAUUGCCAGAAUGACUUAGUUGAUAAAGCUGAAACCAUGCUGCAUGAUAUUAUCAAGAAAGGUCAGACACCAAUCCCAAAUAGUUGGGCUAUCAUCGCUGCAGGGUACUUGAAUAUGAAUAAUAUGGAAAAGGCUUUUGAAUGCAUGAAAAAAGCCAUAGCUGUACGAGGACAAAAUCCCG